GAUGAAGAACGUAGCGAAAUGCGAUACUUGGUGUGAAUUGCAGAAUCCCGUGAACCAUCGAGUCUUUGAACGCAAGUUGCGCCCGAAGCCAUUAGGCCGAGGGCACGCCUGCCUGGGCGUCACACGUCGUUGCCCCCCCAUCUACUCCUUCGGGAUUGCGGGGGGCGGAUGAUGGCCUCCCGUGCGCCUCGUCGCGCGGUUGGCAUAAAUGCCAAGUCCUCGGCGACGCACGCCACGACAAUCGGUGGUUGCGAAACCUCGGUUGCCCGUCGUGUGCGGUCGUCGCGCAUCGAGGGCUCGAAAAAAUUGCCGGGCUCCGGCUCGGCUUUCAACGCGACCCCAGGUCAGGCGGGGUUACCCGCUGAAUUUAAGCAUAUCAAUAAGUGGAGGA
rnacentral:misc_RNA from 1 species